CGGGGGGGCAAGCGUUGUUCGGAAUUACUGGGCGUAAAGGGCGCGUAGGCGGCCUGCUAAGUCGGACGUGAAAUCCCCCGGCUCAACCGGGGAACUGCGUCCGAUACUGGUGGGCUCGAAUCCGGGAGAGGGAUGUGGAAUUCCAGGUGUAGCGGUGAAAUGCGUAGAUAUCUGGAGGAACACCGGUGGCGAAGGCGGCAUCCCGGACCGGCAUUGACGCUGAGGCGCGAAAGCCAGGGGAGCAAACGGGAUUAGAUACCCCGGUAGUCCUGGCCCUAAACGAUGAGUGCUUGGUGUGGCGGGUAUCGAUCCCUGCCGUGCCGAAGCUAACGCAUUAAGCACUCCGCCUGGGGAGUACGGUCGCAAGGCUG
rnacentral:rRNA from 1 species